ensembl:lncRNA uncharacterized LOC112993043
GCAGGAAGGACAAGCCAGAAGCUGGGGUUUCCCUGCAAGUGGGUUCAGGCCAUGGUGUCUCCCAGUGAUGCUGGUUUCUUGCUUCCUGGGUGGCUCGCAGUGACAGCCGCCCUCUCCCUCCCUCCCACACUCCCUUGCAGAGUCUCAGCUAUUUCCUGGAGGUCUUGGUGAGCGUUCAGACCUUCAUGCCCCGGGCCAAGCUUCUGGUCAUCAGCAGUGUUGUGCACCUGCAGCCCAAAUUUGUCCAGAAGAGAUGAUCGUGUUCCUGCAGUCUGAGUUAGCAGUGGGCGUGAGGCCGGUCAUGUGGCAGCCAUGGAUUUGCUGCAAGCUCUGGUCUGCUCUGAUGCCCCUCAGAUCGAGGGAGAAGCUGCCCCUGGCUGUGAUGGCUGUGCAGUCUGUGUGCUGUGGCCCAGGUGAGCUGGUUUGGGCAGGGCCAGUGCUGCCGUGGGGGCAGAGCAACCCUAUCCCUGAGACAGAGCAUGGUGAGUCCAUACCAGUAGGCAAAGGCAGGACCUGGGGCCAGAGCCCAGUGGCGGCUGUGGAGUGAGGGCUGCUGCUGAGCCCUCAUCGUCUUGGCCUGGCCGGAAGGGUUGCAGUGCUUUGAAAGCAGCUCCCCUGGGGUUUUGAGCCAGGGUUGUAACUGCAGCCUCCCUGGCAGCUGAGGAGGGCAAUUCUUCAUUUCAUUGGGGAGCUGCUGCGCUCCAGUGCCCUGGGCUGCUCGGCGUGGGACGUGGUGGGGCACCUCUUCAGCGAGUUCAGCCGGGCCUCGGGCAGACUGGUAAGGGCAGAGUGUGAUGCUGGGGCUGUGUCCUGUGCCCCAGCUGUGCCGCACUGCCAUGGGCGUCCCUAACUGCAGGGAGCCUGGUGCAGCAGGGCAACCAGUGCUGCAGUGGGAGUAGCCUCCCCAUCGCCAUCCACCGUGGGAUCUGGGAAGGGGCAGUGGCAGGUGUUUCCCACCUCUGUCUUGCAGGUGACAGGAAACCUUUGUGCUGAGGAAGCCCAGGAAGAAAAGGCUGUUCAGUGCCUGCGUGCCCAUGUCCUGGGCACGCUGGACCUCUCUGCCAGAGGGGUGGCCAAACCGCUCUGCCAGCUCCCCAGGCCCUGCAGGCUCGCCUGCUGGUGGUGGUGGUGGCUCUGUGCGUGGGUGGUGGCUGUGGAGCUGCGGCCCUGCAGCUGCUGCAGGCGCUCCCCGGCACGAUCCACGGAGCCGUGGGGGCGAAGUGGGCCGCAGACAUCCCCCUGCUGCUGCAGCACCUGGCAGGUAAAGUGCUGGCGGGAGGGAGAGGCUGGGGGCGGAGGGGGCAGCAAAAUGCCCUCAGCUCCCCAGCCUGGCAGCAGGGAACGGUGCCGGGUUUGCGGGCGCUUGUCAGCCWGGUGGCCUGAGGCUUUGGGGCAUCAGACUGCAAAGGAGACACCCGGGCUCUGCCGUGGUGCUCGCUGGGAUAACAGCGAGGGCUUUGCUUCCUCGGGCUUUGCAGGAACAACAGCGAGCUCCCUGGACGUGGCCGAGUGGGAGAGCCUUCUGCUGAAGUUCCUGCAAACCUCUCUGGAGCUCAUUGCGAGCGAGGCCUGGACCGUGGGCCUGAGCCAGGAGCUGAGCCGGCAGCUGGGCAGCUCUCCCCGCCUGUCCUGGGAGAAGGGAAUCACUUCUGUUUUGUCCCGCUGUGCCGAGAGCCAUUUCAAGCUGGCCUUGUCCUUGGUCGAGGAGUUCGCAGAGACUUUUCAACAGCAGAAGCAAACUGCCAGCAGAGCGAUGUGGUGA